CCUACGGGGGGCUGCAGUAGGGAAUCUUCCACAAUGGACGAAAGUCUGAUGGAGCAACGCCGCGUGUAUGAUGAAGGGUUUCGGCUCGUAAAACACUGUUGUAAGAGAAGAAUGACAUUGAGAGUAACUGUUCAGUGUGUGACGGUAUCUUACCAGAAAGGAACGGCUAAAUACGUGCCAGCAGCCGCGGUAAUACGUAUGUUCCAAGCGUUAUCCGGAUUUCUUGGGCGUAAAGCGAGCGCAGACGGUUGUUGAAGAUCGAAGUGAGAGCCCAGGGCUUAUACGUGGAAGUGCCUUGGAAACUGGAUAAGUGGAGUGCAGUCGAGGAGAGUGGAGCUCCAUGUGUAGCGGUGAAAUGCGUAGAUAUAUGGAAGGACACCAGUGGCGAAGACGGCUCUCUGGACUGUAACUGACGUUGAGGCUCGAAAGUGUGGGUAGCAAACAGGAUUAGAUACCCGUGUAGUC
rnacentral:rRNA from 1 species